rnacentral:rRNA from 1 species
GUGGGGAAUCUUGCGCAAUGGGCGAAAGCCUGACGCAGCCAUGCCGCGUGAAUGAUGAAGGUCUUAGGAUUGUAAAAUUCUUUCACCGGGGACGAUAAUGACGGUACCCGGAGAAGAAGCCCCGGCUAACUUCGUGCCAGCAGCCGCGGUAAUACGAAGGGGGCUAGCGUUGCUCGGAAUUACUGGGCGUAAAGGGAGCGUAGGCGGACUGUUUAGUCAGAGGUGAAAGCCCAGGGCUCAACCUUGGAAUUGCCUUUGAUACUGGCAGUCUUGAGUACGGGAGAGGUGUGUGGAACUCCGAGUGUAGAGGUGAAAUUCGUAGAUAUUCGGAAGAACACCAGUGGCGAAGGCGACACACUGGCCCGUUACUGACGCUGAGGCUCGAAAGCGUGGGGAGCAAACAGGAUUAGAAACCCGAGUAGUCC